CCUACGGGGGGCUGCAGUGGGGAAUAUUGGACAAUGGGGGGAACCCUGAUCCAGCCAUGCCGCGUGUGUGAAGAAGGCCCUCGGGUUGUAAAGCACUUUCAGUGAGGAAGAACGCCUGGUGGUUAAUACCCAUCAGGAAAGACAUCACUCACAGAAGAAGCACCGGCUAACUCCGUGCCAGCAGCCGCGGUAAUACAGAGGGUGCGAGCGUUAAUCGGAAUUACUGGGCGUAAAGCGCGCGUAGGUGGCUUGAUAAGCCGGUUGUGAAAGCCCCGGGCUCAACCUGGGAACGGCAUCCGGAACUGUCAAGCUAGAGUGCAGGAGAGGAAGGUAGAAUUCCCGGUGUAGCGGUGAAAUGCGUAGAGAUCGGGAGGAAUACCAGUGGCGAAGGCGGCCUUCUGGACUGACACUGACACUGAGGUGCGAAAGCGUGGGUAGCAAACAGGAUUAGAUACCCGGGUAGUC
rnacentral:rRNA from 1 species